GGAGGAUGGGGGAGGCGUGUGGAACAGAACAGCUGUCCACCGGCGUUGGAGGCUCGGCCUCUCAUUUUGUUCGCGUAUCUGUCUCAGGCGGUGUUCCCGAAAGCAGACCCUGAGAUGAGAACGCAGGUAGAAGUGACUUAUUAGGGGGAGAUUCUUCAGCGAAUGUCUCCUCCUGGAAACACUGGGAGGAGAGUGGGGAAGCGGGGCGACGCAGUGAGCAGGCAACACCGAGCCCGAGGGCAAGUCCGGCUCCAUCCCGCCGGGGACAGCGCGUGUUCCACUACGGAGUGUCUCCGUCAGGGACAAAGCUGUCCUUGGUCAAGGUGGCCCCAAGAGGAUGCCCUGCACUCGGCAAAGUAGGCUUGGCAACCCGAGACCCGUCUUCAGGUGCCGGAGGUGCUGGGGCACGCAGACAGGCAGCCUUAUCCAACAGUACCAAAAAUCGGGAAAGAAGAACAAAACAAAGAACGGAGAAAAGGCUGGAUAGCUUUGCGGCAACAGAGCUCAGCCCACGCCCCCCCUCUCACCGCAGCCCACGUAUGGGACGGGCCUGCAGAAUACGUAAAAAGGAAAAAUCACCCUCUCUGUAUCAGACGCCUCACGCGCUGCCUCGUUCUCUCAAGGGGCCACCACCAUGCCCAGCCUCUGCCAUGAGGGCUUCCGGGAGGCGACUACGUUCUACCCACCUGAGGCCUCCGCGUGGGUCUCCGGUUGCUCCCAUGACUUCAAGACUCAGAGGACCUAUCAUGCUGGCUAUUUCCUGGGAUCUGGCUUCCCCAGUGGCUCCCGAAGGACUCGGGCGAUAUAACCCAGAAGCGCAGGGAACUUAACUCCCUGUGUAGAGAACUUGACCAGUGAAGUUCUCUCCAUUCCACCAUAAUGGACUCUUUCAAGGCCUGGGAUUUCCGAAAAAUCUGUUCAGAGACAUCCCGCGCAGCAAGAUGACCAGCCUCUCGAGGUAGGGCUGGGACUGUACCUUCGGAUAAAGCAGUAGUGUUUAAGCCUGCCUCAGGCCAUCUAUUCAAGGGAGUCCAGGCUAUCCGGAACCAGACGGGGAUUCUUCCUCCCCGCCCCCCCCUUCUCAUAACCUUUUAAAAAGUCAAUUUCAAAAGUGUGGUGGCCUACUCUCCUCACCGCCAAAGACUGCCCAGAGGAGCAGAGGGUUCACUGGCAGAGGCUGGGAGGCGGACAGCCUACUUGGGUAAAGGGGCUCCUAGCAGCCACUAUGCUUCUGCACAUGCUCGGCAGAAGGUGCCCACCUGCUAGACAGCCCAGAGCCACGAAAUGGGCUCGGAGCUGGCAGCUGAACACGACGGAGCCGAGGGGAGAACAGCGGCCGUGAAAGCCACGCGGGCUUGCCCCCGUGGGGUUCCGGCUUGCCCCUGCUCGCUAGGCUGAGGGCUGGCUGGAGGCCCCUGAGAUCUUCCCAUCUGGUGGGGGAUGGGAAGCACCUCUCCCAGUGAGAACUUUGAGCUGGACUGUGAUUGAAUUCUUGGAUUAGACUAACAUUUUUAUUGGAUUAGGCUGGCCUUUGCUGGAGGGGACUGAAUUCAGUCUUCCUGCUGCCAAGUGGGAAUGAGACCUCAUUAAAGAAAGUACAUGCAAUUAUUAUUAUUUUUUAAGUGCAUUUGUACUCUCCCAGGCCCCACUUUAAUUUGGCCAGGAGCCCUGUCCUUGAGUGUGAGGCCCUAAGGAGAGUCAACCAGACUCCGGC
rnacentral:lncRNA from 1 species